rnacentral:rRNA from 1 species
UGGGGAAUUUUGGACAAUGGGCGAAAGCCUGAUCCAGCAAUGCCGCGUGUGUGAAGAAGGCCUUCGGGUUGUAAAGCACUUUUGUCCGGAAAGAAAUCCUUGGCUCUAAUACAGCCGGGGGAUGACGGUACCGGAAGAAUAAGCACCGGCUAACUACGUGCCAGCAGCCGCGGUAAUACGUAGGGUGCAAGCGUUAAUCGGAAUUACUGGGCGUAAAGCGUGCGCAGGCGGUUUGCUAAGACCGAUGUGAAAUCCCCGGGCUCAACCUGGGAACUGCAUUGGUGACUGGCAGGCUAGAGUAUGGCAGAGGGGGUAGAAUUCCACGUGUAGCAGUGAAAUGCGUAGAGAUGUGGAGGAAUACCGAUGGCGAAGGCAGCCCCCUGGGCCAAUACUGACGCUCAUGCACGAAAGCGUGGGGAGCAAACAGGAUUAGAUACCCUGGUAGUCCACGCCCUAAACGAUGUCAACUAGUUGUUGGGGAUUCAUUUCCUUAGUAACGUAGCUAACGCGUGAAGUUGACCGCCUGGGGAGUACGGUCGCAAGAUUAAAACUCAAAUGAAUUGACGGGGUCAUAGCUGUUUCCU